CUCCCCUCUGCUGAUUGGCUGAGAAGCUGCAGAGAAGGUAAAUGUAAAGAAUGCUGCUCUACCUGUUAACUCAAACAGCUUCUCCACACAAACAGAUUCCAGAUCGACCUCUGCUGUGAUGCAGACGACCCUCGUUUCCAUGACGACACUGAUGGAGCUGUUGUCGUGUGCAACUCAAAGACUGCUGGUCGCUGGGGUGAUGAGAGAAGGGAAAUACACAACAACACGGGGCCACAGACGUCGAGAUUGUGUUGAAGCUGGAUGGAGACGUGUUUGAAGUUUAGCUUCCUGAUGGACAGGAAGUCCAGUUCCUGAACUGUGUUGACAUGGACGUCAUCAGAUACAUCAGAAUCACAGGAGACCUCAAACAUCUGCUGAGACUCAUCUGCUCUCACACAGGCUGUGUUCAUCAGUUUGGUUAAAGACUGUCAGUUAUUGUCAGAAACAUGAAUCAUAAAGAGAUGUAGAUGUUCAGACUGAAGUAUUUCCUGCUGUGCAACACAAAAUAAAAUGUUUAAAUUCAAAUGA